GCCAGGCAUGGUGGCACGUGCCUGUAGUCCCAGCUACUCGGGAGGCUGAGGCAGGAGAAUCGCUUGAACCCAGGAGGCGGGGGUUGCAAUGAGCCGAGAUCAUGCCAUUGCACUCCAGCCUGGGUGACAGAGUGAGACUCUGUCUCAA
rnacentral:SRP_RNA from 1 species